UACGUAGGGGGCAAGCGUUGUCCGGAUUUAUUGGGCGUAAAGAGCGUGUAGGCGGCCAGGUAGGUCUGCUGUGAAAACUCGAGGCUUAACCUCGAGAUGUCGGCGGAAACCAUCUGGCUAGAGUCCGGAAGAGGAGAGUGGAAUUCCUGGUGUAGCGGUGAAAUGCGUAGAUAUCAGGAGGAACACCGGUGGUGUAGACGGCUUUCUGGACCGUAACUGACGCUGAGACACGAAAGCGUGGGUAGCAAACAGG
rnacentral:rRNA from 1 species